GACGAACGCUAGCGGCGUGCUUAACACAUGCAAGUCGAACGGAAAGGCCCUGCUUGCAGGGUACUCGAGUGGCGAACGGGUGAGUAACACGUGGGUGAUCUGCCCUGCACUUCGGGAUAAGCCUGGGAAACUGGGUCUAAUACCGGAUAUGACCUUCCAUGUAGUGUGGGGGGUGGAAAGAUUUAUCGGUGUGGGAUGAGCCCGCGGCCUAUCAGCUUGUUGGUGGGGUAAUGGCCUACCAAGGCGUCGACGGGUAGCCGGCCUGAGAGGGUGGACGGCCACAUUGGGACUGAGAUACGGCCCAGACUCCUACGGGAGGCAGCAGUGGGGAAUAUUGCACAAUGGGCGGAAGCCUUAUGCAGCGACGCCGCGUGGGGGAUGACGGCCUUCGGGUUGUAAACCUCUUUCGACAGGGACGAAGCUUCGGUGACGGUACCUGGAUAAGAAGCACCGGCUAACUACGUG
rnacentral:rRNA from 1 species